CGCAUCACCUUACAGACUGCUAUCAGAGACAGCCCGCUGAUCCAGCAGCCCACUGACGGACCAACCUGUUGACCAAUCACAUAUCAGACAGACCUCCUCUGGAGUCUCAACCCAUCUAUCUUCAGAACUUACAUCUUCUACUGUGGACUGGUGAAAAAGCAUGGCUCAAAAACUUGCUCUGGUCAUUGUGAUUUUUCUGGUGGUUGGUCAGUUUGUUGGGCAAACAUCUGCAGAUAAUGAAGGCCCAGCAGAGGAUCUGGCCUAUAAGGAGCACCCACUUGCAAAGCGUAUGUUAAAAGCUGCAGGUACAGCAGUAGUAAAAGCUGCCAAACAAACAAUUGGUGGAACACUUGGUGGAGCAGUUGCUGGAGGAGGCGUAGGAGCAGUUAGUGGAGCAAUCCAUGAAGGACCCAAUGGUUCAGUUGAAAACAUAUUUAAACAGGCAGUUAAAGGAGCAAUUCUUGGAGGUGCUGCUGGAGGAGUUGGUGCAGGAUUUAAAGGAGCAACUGCUAUUAAAGAAGCAGGUAAAAUAGGAGUGAAAGCAGGAUUUGGAGCAACCUUUGUAGGAGAAGCUCAAAAAUUUGGUGACACAUACAUUGAUGGCAAAGAUAAAAAACCAUGAUGAUAUGUCCACUUAUAGCUGUGAACUUGCAGUAUCAAGUGUUUAUGUAAUAAAG